rnacentral:sRNA from 1 species
UUAUUUAUGUCUCUGCAGUAUGUAAGCAAUUGUCUACAAAAUCUGUCUCAUUUUUAAUUUGUUACUUAAUUCUUUUGUUAUUUUGAUAUUUGCAUGGGUGACAAAGGGAGUUAGAUUUUGGGUUUAUUGAAAUGCUGUACAUAAAUCAUCCUUGACCCAAUUAUCAACAUUGACUUUGAUUUGACAUUGAGUCUCAUUCUUCUGGUCAUUUUCAUGACCUUUUGCAAUAUUGUUUCAAUACUUCAAUACUCAGUAUAACAAAAUUCAAUAAUCAUCCUACAUGUUGUUUAAAUAAAUCAAAAGAAGUAAGGUAGAUUCAUGAUGAUCAGACAUUUCUCAUUAAUAUUUUUGUUGUGAGGAUUGUUACUUCAUUCCCAAAUUUGUACUCAGUUAAAACAUAUCAUUUGGAUUACAAACUAAUGCUCCUUUUUUGUCUCCAAAUUUGAUGACAUUGCUUGUAGUAGUGUACAUACUGGAACUAACUGUGUAUGUUAUCAGAACUUAAUUGUUAAUAAAUGAAGG